rnacentral:misc_RNA from 1 species
GAUGAAGAACGUAGCGAAAUGCGAUAAGUAGUGUGAAUUGCAGAAUUCAGUGAAUCAUCGAAUCUUUGAACGCACAUUGCGCCCCUUGGUAUUCCGGGGGGCACGCCUGUUCGAGCGCCAUUACACACCCCAAGCUAAGCUUGAUGUUGGGCGAUGUCUGUCACAGGACACGCCUGGAACGUAUGGGCGCCGCCGCCGGAUCACGAGUGUAGCAAGACGCAAGUCAUCGCUCGGUCGGUCCUGGCGGUUGGCCGCCGCGGCUCAUGGUAACACAUGGGCCAGUAACUUUUCACAAGUUUGGCCUCGAAUCAGGCGGGGAUACCCGCUGAACUUAAGCAUAUCAAUAAGCGGAGGA